rnacentral:rRNA from 1 species
GACGAACGCUGGCGGCGUGCUUAACACAUGCAAGUCGAACGGAAAGGCCCUGCUUUUGUGGGGUGCUCGAGUGGCGAACGGGUGAGUAACACGUGAGUAACCUGCCCUUGACUUUGGGAUAACUUCAGGAAACUGGGGCUAAUACCGGAUAGGAGCUCCUGCUGCAUGGUGGGGGUUGGAAAGUUUCGGCGGUUGGGGAUGGACUCGCGGCUUAUCAGCUUGUUGGUGUGGUAGUGGCUUACCAAGGCUUUGACGGGUAGCCGGCCUGAGAGGGUGACCGGCCACAUUGGGACUGAGAUACGGCCCAGACGCCUACGGGAGGCAGCAGUGGGGAAUAUUGCACAAUGGGCGGAAGCCUGAUGCAGCAACGCCGCGUGCGGGAUGACGUCCUUCGGGUUGUAAACCGCUUUCGCCUGUGACGAAGCGUGAGUGACGGUAAUGGGUAAAGAAGCACCGGCUAACUACGUG